AGUGAACGCUGGCGGCGUGCUUAACACAUGCAAGUCGAACGAUAACGGAUUAUAGCUUGCUAUAAUUGUCAGCUAAGUGGCGCACGGGUGAGUAAUGUAUAGGUAAUAUGCCUCUUACUAAGGGAUAACAAAUGGAAACGUUUGCUAAUACCUUAUACUCCUUAUUAACAGAAGUUAAUAAGGGAAAGAUUUAUUGGUAAGAGAUUAGCCUGUAUUGUAUCAGUUAGUUGGUGGGGUAAUGGCUUACCAAGACUAUGACACAUAACUGGUUUGGGAGGAUGAUCAGUCACACGGGAACUGAGACACGGUCCAGAAUCCUACGGGAGGCAGCAGUGGGGAAUAUUGCACAAUGGACGAAAGUCUGAUGCAGCAACGCCGCGUGGAGGAUGACACAUUUCGGUGCGUAAACUCCUUUUAUAGGAGAAGUUAAUGACGGUAUUAUAUGAAUAAGCACCGGCUAACUCCGUGCCAGCCGCCGCCGUAA
rnacentral:rRNA from 1 species